rnacentral:rRNA from 1 species
UACGAAGGGGGCUAGCGUUGCUCGGAAUCACUGGGCGUAAAGGGUGCGUAGGCGGGUCUUUAAGUCAGGGGUGAAAUCCUGGAGCUCAACUCCAGAACUGCCUUUGAUACUGAAGAUCUUGAGUUCGGGAGAGGUGAGUGGAACUGCGAGUGUAGAGGUGAAAUUCGUAGAUAUUCGCAAGAACACCAGUGGCGAAGGCGGCUCACUGGCCCGAUACUGACGCUGAGCCACGAAAGCGUGGGGAGCAAACAGG